GACAAUUCCUUACUCCAGCUUCAGAGGAGCAUCUUUGCAUGAAUCAAUACUAACUCCUCAGUCAGCUGACCUUCUAUUUUUGAGAUUAGAGCAGAAGAACUCCGUAACGGCGGAGAAGGGUUUCGCCUCGAAUCCAAACGAUUUCUCGUCUUCUCUUAAGAUAUUUCUAGUUAGGACUUGAUCGAGGGAUCAAAUGACUCCGAAACAUAAAGUAACAAGACCAGAACCCCGUUUGGACUAUAAAUAAUAAUAAUAAUCAGUAAACAGCAAGCAAAGAGAUAACUUUCAACUUUCACAAGCUGCAAAACUAAGUUGUGGCGUCGCCUAUGCAUAAUGUAAAGAGUCUGGUGAAGAAAAAGAACUCAAUCAAAUGGAAGAAAAAAAAUCAUAAAAUGAUAAAAUCAAAUUGGAAUUUACUUGUUCCGCCAAGUCCUGCAAUGGCAUUAAUGAGCUGG
rnacentral:lncRNA from 1 species